GCAAACUUGGUCAUUUAGAGGAAGUAAAAGUCGUAACAAGGUUUCCGUAGGUGAACCUGCGGAAGGAUCAUUACAAAUCGAGAGAAGGGAGGGAGUUGUGUGGUGGUGGGGAGAGGGGGAGGAGGAGGAGGAGGAAAGGUUGUCAGUAGUGUAAUAUAUGAUGAUACCACUAGAGUGUCUCUCUAGUGGUUUGUUAUAUGUGAAACGAAAAGAGACUCCCUUCCCAUUCCAUUCCAUUCCCCCCCCUCUACACUACUAUUACUAUACAAGCCCCCAACUUUUACGCUUGUUGUGUUUGACAGAGUAAUAAUGUGAUUAUAAAAUAUGAGACAACUUUUAACAAUGGAUCUCUUGGCUCUUGCAUCGAUGAAGAACGCAGC
rnacentral:misc_RNA from 1 species